CUACGGGGGGCACCAGUGAGGAAUUUUGCGCAAUGGGGGGAACCCUGACGCAGCAACGCCGCGUGAGUGAUGAAGGCUUUCGGGUCGUAAAGCUCUGUCAAGUGGGAAGAACCUAUGCAGUGUUAAUAUCACUGUGUACUGACGGUACCACUGAAGGAAGCACCGGCUAACUCCGUGCCAGCAGCCGCGGUAAUACGGGGGGUGCAAGCGUUAUUCGGAAUCAUUGGGCGUAAAGGGCACGUAGGCGGCUUGGUAAGUCAGAUGUGAAAGCCCGGGGCUUAACCCCGGAAGUGCAUUUGAUACUGUCAGGCUUGAGUAUGGGAGAGGGGAGUGGAAUUCCUGGUGUAGAGGUGAAAUUCGUAGAUAUCAGGAGGAACACCGGUGGCGAAGGCGACUUCCUGGACCAAUACUGACGCUGAGGUGCGAAGGCGUGGGUAGCAAACAGGAUUAGAUACCCUAGUAGUC
rnacentral:rRNA from 1 species